rnacentral:rRNA from 1 species
AUUGAACGCUGGCGGAAUGCUUUACGCAUGCAAGUCGAACGGCAGCACGGGGGCAGCCCUGGUGGCGAGUGGCGAACGGGUGAGUAAUACAUCGGAACGUGCCCGGUCGUGGGGGAUAACGUAGCGAAAGUUACGCUAAUACCGCAUACGAUCUGAGGAUGAAAGCGGGGGACCUUCGGGCCUCGCGCGAUCGGAGCGGCCGAUGUCAGAUUAGGUAGUUGGUGGGGUAAAGGCCUACCAAGCCGACGAUCUGUAGCUGGUCUGAGAGGACGACCAGCCACACUGGGACUGAGACACGGCCCAGACUCCUACGGGAGGCAGCAGUGGGGAAUUUUGGACAAUGGGCGCAAGCCUGAUCCAGCCAUUCCGCGUGCAGGACGAAGGCCUUCGGGUUGUAAACUGCUUUUGUACGGAACGAAAAGGCUCUGGCUAAUACCUGGGGCUCAUGACGGUACCGUAAGAAUAAGCACCGGCUAACUACGUG